CCUACGGGAGGCAGCAGUGAGGAAUAUUGGUCAAUGGGCGCAAGCCUGAACCAGCCAAGUCGCGUGAGGGAUGACGGUCCUAUGGAUUGUAAACCUCUUUUGUCGGGGAGCAAGGCCCGCCACGUGUGGCGGGAAGGAGAGUACCCGACGAAAAAGCAUCGGCUAACUCCGUGCCAGCAGCCGCGGUAGUACGGGGGAUGCGAGCGUUAUCCGGAUUUAUUGGGGUUAAGGGGUGCGUAGGAGGAAGGUUAAGUCAGCGGUAAAAUGUCGGUGCUCAACACCGGCCUGCCGUUGAUACUGGUCUUCUUGAGUGAGCGAGAAGUAUGCGGAAUGCGUGGUGUAGCGGUGAAAUGCAUAGAUAUCACGCAGAACACCGAUGGCGAAGGCAGCAUACCGGCGCUCAACUGACGCUGAGGCACGAAAGCGUGGGGAUCGAACAGGAUUAGAUACCCUAGUAGUC
rnacentral:rRNA from 1 species